rnacentral:rRNA from 1 species
GACGAACGCUGGCGGCGUGCCUAAUACAUGCAAGUAGAACGCUGAAGGAGGAGCUUGCUUCUCUGGAUGAGUUGCGAACGGGUGAGUAACGCGUAGGUAACCUGCCUGGUAGCGGGGGAUAACUAUUGGAAACGAUAGCUAAUACCGCAUAAGAGUAGAUGUUGCAUGACAUUUGCUUAAAAGUUGCAAUUGCAUCACUACCAGAUGGACCUGCGUUGUAUUAGCUAGUUGGUGGGGUAACGGCUUACCAAGGCGACGAUACAUAGCCGACCUGAGAGGGUGAUCGGCCACACUGGGACUGAGACACGGCCCAGACUCCUACGGGAGGCAGCAGUAGGGAAUCUUCGGCAAUGGACGGAAGUCUGACCGAGCAACGCCGCGUGAGUGAAGAAGGUUUUCGGAUCGUAAAGCUCUGUUGUAAGAGAAGAACGAGUGUGAGAGUGGAAAGUUCACACUGUGACGGUAUCUUACCAGAAAGGGACGGCUAACUACGUG